rnacentral:rRNA from 1 species
GACGAACGCUGGCGGCGUGCUUAACACAUGCAAGUCGAACGGAAAGGCCCUGCUUUUGUGGGGUGCUCGAGUGGCGAACGGGUGAGUAACACGUGAGUAACCUGCCCUUGACUUUGGUAUAACUUCAGGAAACUGAGGCUAAUACCGGAUAGGAGCUCCUGCUGCAUGGUGGGGGUUGGAAAGUUUCGGCGGUUGGGGAUGGACUCGCGGCUUAUCAGCUUGUUGGUGGGGUAGUGGCUUACCAAGGCUUUGACGGGUAGCCGGCCUGAGAGGGUGACCGGCCACAUUGGGACUGAGAUACGGCCCAGACUCCUACGGGAGGCAGCAGUGGGGAAUAUUGCACAAUGGGCGGAAGCCUGAUGCAGCAACGCCGCGUGCGGGAUGACGGCCUUCGGGUUGUAAACCGCUUUCGCCUGUGACGAAGCGUGAGUGACGGUAAUGGGUAAAGAAGCACCGGCUAACUACGUG